rnacentral:tRNA from 1 species
UAAAAAUUAGUUAAUUUAUAACAUAAGCUUGUCAAGCUUAAAUUAUUAGAGAACUAAUAUUUUUAA